rnacentral:rRNA from 1 species
GGCUACGAACAAAUUACUCAGAAUGCACAUGAUCUCAUCGGAUCUCGAAAGCUAAACAGAGUGUAGCCUGGUUAGUACUGAUAUGGGAGAUGGCUUGGGAAUACCAGGCAUUGUAGGCC